rnacentral:rRNA from 1 species
UACGUAGGUGGCAAGCGUUGUCCGGAUUUACUGGGCGUAAAGAGCGCGCAGGCGGUCGUUCAAGUCGCGUGUGAAAGCCCCCGGCUCAACUGGGGAGGGUCACGCGAUACUGAUCGACUCGAAGGCAGGAGAGGGAAGUGGAAUUCCCGGUGUAGUGGUGAAAUGCGCAGAUAUCAGGAGGAACACCGAUGGCGAAGGCAGGUCUCGUGGGCAUUAACUGACGCUGAGGAGCGAAAGCAUGGGGAGCGAACAGG